UGGUGGAGCGAUUUGUCUGGUUAAUUCCGUUAACGAACGAGACCUCGACCUGCUAAAUAGUGGGGUCUAGUCUUCGGACUAGGCCGUGAUCCAGGUUGUGGCGGCCUGCAGCAAUGUGAGCCGUCGCCGUUUGGGUCAAUUCACUUCUUAGAGGGACACUCGGUGUUUAUAGCCGAUGGAAGUUCGAGGCAAUAACA
rnacentral:rRNA from 1 species